AUUGAACGCUGGCGGCAGGCCUAACACAUGCAAGUCGAGCGGAGCGGCGGACGGGUGAGUAAUGCUUAGGAAUCUGCCUGGUAGUGGGGGAUAACGUCCGGAAACGGGCGCUAAUACCGCAUACUAUCAGAUGAGCCUCGGCCGGAUUAGCUAGUUGGUGGGGUAAAGGCCUACCAAGGCGACGAUCCGUAACUGGUCUGAGAGGAUGAUCAGUCACACUGAAACUAUUACACGGUCCAGACUCCUACGGGAGGCAGUAGUGGGGAAUUGUGGACAAUGGACGAAAGCCUGAUCCACCCAUGCCGCGUGUGUGAAGGAGGGCUUCGGAUUGUAAAGCACUUUAAGGUGGGAGACGUUGCCAACAGAAUAAGCACCGGCUAACUCCGUGCCAGCAGCCGCGGUAAUUC
rnacentral:rRNA from 1 species